AUUGAACGCUGGCGGCAGGCUUAACACAUGCAAGUCGAGCGGGGGAAGGUAGCUUGCUACCGGACCUAGCGGCGGACGGGCGAGUAAUGCUUAGGAAUCUGCCUAUUAGUGGGGGACAACAUCUCGAAAGGGAUGCUAAUACCGCAUACGUCCUAUGGGAGAAAGCAGGGGAUCUUCGGACCUUGCGCUAAUAGAUGAGCCUAAGUCGGAUUAGUUAGUUGGUGGGGUAAAGGCCUACCAAGGCGACGAUCUGUAGCGGGUCUGAGAGGAUGAUCCGCCACACUAGGACUGAGACACGGCCCAGAGUCCUACGGGAGGCAGCAGUGGGGAAUAUUGGACAAUGGGGGGAACCCUGAUCCAGCCAUGCCGCGUGUGUGAAGAAGGCCUUAUGGUUGUAAAGCACUUUAAGCGAGGAGGAGGCUACUUUAGUUAAUACCUAGAGAUAGUGGACGUUACUCGCAGAAUAAGCACCGGCUAACUCUGUGCCAGCCGCCGCGGUAA
rnacentral:rRNA from 1 species